rnacentral:rRNA from 1 species
UACGUAGGUGGCGAGCGUUGUCCGGAUUUACUGGGCGUAAAGCGCACGUAGGCGGAUUGUUAAGUCAGGGGUGAAAUCCUGGAGCUCAACUCCAGAACUGCCUUUGAUACUGGCGAUCUCGAGUCCGGGAGAGGUGAGUGGAACUGCGAGUGUAGAGGUGAAAUUCGUAGAUAUUCGCAAGAACACCAGUGGCGAAGGCGGCUCACUGGCCCGGUACUGACGCUGAGGUGCGAAAGCGUGGGGAGCAAACAGG